rnacentral:lncRNA from 1 species
UACAUCUCCAUCCGACCGUCUCUCCGACCUCCACCCUUGCUAUGCUCUCGACUGCCUCCAGCUUCGCUUGACUGACCGUCUUCGUCGAGCUCGAGGUUCUAGACCGUUAGAUUGGACCUCCAUCAUGUUGAUCUCCGCUGUCGAUGAUCGAAAGGAAGACAGAAGUAGUGAAGCACCACCGCGAGGAGGAGAAACAGGUGGAGGAGGGCCAUCGUCGCUGUUGAAGGCUUCGGGAAGUGGAGCGCACAUCGAUGGGCUGUCGACUAAAGAUCACCACCAGGUUCUCUCCUAUCAGCUGCUCGAUCCAUUUUUCUGGUGGCUCUGCCCCGUUGAUCAACAGAGCCGCCCCUCUCCUCUUCCCCUUCGCCCUCGCUGCCACCAUUUUUUCCCAAAAGAUCGAUGAGAUUUGAGAUCGUGAGAGCAUGAGAGAGAAGAAAAAAGGGGAGCAAUCGAGAGGCAAGAGCGAGUUUGAUCGUAAGAAAGGGUGAGAGGGAGGAGCGAGGUAAAUUCUGUAUAGGAAAGGGAGGUGAUGGAGGGAGUGGGUGAGGCAUUGAGGUGGUGAUGGAUCACAGAAGGGGCGAAGGGCUCUGCCACCCUAGGGCUUUUUAAGGGAAGGAGA